rnacentral:lncRNA from 1 species
CUGUAAUGUGCACAGUUAAAACAACUUGUCCUCCCAGGACCUUUUGCAGUUAGGGUUGGUCGUGUGACAUGGUCCUGCGAAGAAGAUACGGAUAGAAGUCUGUGGGCCACCAGUGGAUUGAAUGAUGCCCAUAUGCACUGAGAAGGGCCAUGUGUUUACUCGGUCUACCAAUUCAAAUGUUAAUCUCAUCCAAAAACACCCUCACAGAUACGUUUGGAAUGAUGUUUAACCAAAUAUUUGGGUACCGUCUUCCCCAGUGAAGUUGACACAAAAUUAACCAUCACAGCUGCCUUCCUCUGGGCCUCAUGUUAUAUGAGAACAGUAUUGGUGCAGGUUCUUCAGCUUUGCUGGAGUACGUAUCGACUUUGCUGGGAGCAUGACUUUGUGCAAGGCAUAAAGGUUAUACCUCUGCAGCUCUUCUACUUUGUCUCUGCCAUCUCUGACCACUCAACUCAGGUGUACACUUAAAGCGUUCUGGGAAUAUGAAUCCCUUCUGCACCCUGGAAUCACCAGUCCAGCCAUGCAUGGAGCUGGGGAAAGCAGGCCCUGAAUUGUCUAGAGAGACUUGGUGGAGGAGGCCACGGCCCGCCUUGUCCCUGCCGGGUCCCAGCCAGGAUCUGAACGUCUAUGACACUCUUUCGAGCUGACACAGUGAAGAACAUGGAAGGAGAACUCACCCAGUCUGCCAGGGUCACAGAUGAUCAUACUCAAGAUCUUCCUGGGGAGUCAAUGGCAAAUUUCACUGGGCUAUUUUACAGAUGAAGAAGGAACAUAAAGAAGGUUCUGGGACCCU